CCGGCAUAGUUUUGUGUUUUUAAAAAGUCAAAAGGAAGAAGAUGGAAUGAGGAAGACUAGCGAAGGCUGGUCUAGGAAGGGGGCGUGCUGACCAGGCCUGAUGGCUGCUACUACCAAUGCUAGGCCUCACAAGGGCUUUCUGAGACCCACUUACCAGUCUUAGGAACUACCCAAGUCUUCCAAAGGGUCCUGAGAAACGUGAAUGUGGAGAGGCAACCUGAGAGAAGCUUGAAAGGGCCCGUGUGGUCUGUGAGUAAAGAGUCUCCUGUGCAGAAAAAGCAGCCAUCUGGCACCUGGCCAGGCAUGAGAAAGCUCACGCUAGGAGGGCUGCCUUUAGUCUCUGGAUCCACAAGCUGGUCACAACCAUUCCAGACAGACCCCGGCUAGAAGUCCCGUUGGGUGACUCUCCUUCCCUGUAUCGAGGCGAUCCAGUUCUGCAAAGUUGUAGGCUUGAGGCCCUGGCUGCAAUAGUGGGUAGCAGGUCAAGGGAAGGGAGAGCUCAUAUUUUUCAGAUCCCCCUUUGGUGUGUGGCUUAGAAAAGCCAGGUAUGCCACAAGUGCUACUUGAUAUUGCCAUGACGUCAAUAGGUAUUGCCCAUUUAUAUGAAAUAGUCCUUAUGGGCCCAAACCACAUCUCCAAUUAUUGUGACCUCACGUUGCUUAUAAAGUUUUAUGUCUAAAGUUUAAAAAAAAUGAAAGUAUUGAUAAAAUUCCAUUUUGGAAUCGUACACCAGGAGCUUUUGGAGAAACUGUUUCGCAAGUACGGCUAUCAGAAUGGAAGGGAUACAAAAUUAGGAGCCAGAAGGCCACAGAUAUUUAUUGCAGCAUCUCUCAUGGACUGGGGCUGGUGCGUGGGAUGGAGAUAGUACUUGUGUGAAUAAAGCUGACCAUCCUUUUUGAAGAGACAGCCAAAACAUGUCUUAAGAAUGAUGACUAAGGCUGCGGAGGGAGAAAACGGUAGGAACAACAGGAUGGUCUUUUAUAGAGAGCUCUGAUGAGGCUGACAGGAGGCAGGGUGCUGAACAGUCAAAUUGGGAAAAAAGGAUGUUUGGGGUUAUAGAGUAGGUUCUUGGUGGAAAAUGAUUUUCUCUUAAGGCUUUCUGAGGAUACUGUAGGCAUCAAUGUCCAUACUUGUAAAACAAAUAGUUCUAUCUACCUCCCCAGGUGAACCCACUGAGCUGGUGUGGGGACCCCAUGUCUUGAGUCUGCUGCACUUUUGUGGAGCAGAGAUACCCAAAGUCCUUAGUGAGGAAGAACUGUUUCUUUUUUCCAUUUGUACGUGCAGGGCAUUUGAUUGCCCUGUAUCAUAUGAUGGGACAUGUCUGUCUGGGCCAGGUGGUAGGUGACGGUUGUGUUGAGUAGGAAAGACCUAGCAGCUGUGACUAGCAGCCCAAGGGACAGAAGAUACGUCUGAGGUUGGGACCCAGCAGGCCAACUUCGAAAGUGAUGAGGCAAUGCCAGACUUUUGGCAAGCUGAAUAUCCAGAGAUGAUUUCAGUGCGGGCAGCUGUUUUAAACCGUGUUCAGUGGAAACCAUCCCUUUGGAGAUCCUUUCUGAAGAAGGUCAUGGUAAAUGCCCUCGGUGAACUGCAAAAACAGGAGAGCCAGGCAUGCAUCCCUCUGGUUGCUCAGAAAUGUGGGUUUUCAAUAAAUAUUUGAUGAAUUGAAGGACAUUAUAGGGAGAUGUCCCAGGGUAGCAGAGCCUGGUGAGCCCCCGGCUGUGAAGGCCCCUGUGGAAUAAGUUGUCAGUGGCACUGUGGUGCAUGUGCUAAAAUGGCCUGAAUCCAAAACAGGAUUCAGGAGAAGGAGGUGGUCUGUCCCCUCUGAGCUGCACAGUAGAGCAUCAAUCAAACCAGUCUACAUGUCAUCCAGGGUUUUUUUUUUUAAGGCAGGGUCACACUAUGUAGCCUUGGCUGGCCUGGAACUUGCUAUGUAAACCAGGCUGGCCUCACACAGAUCCAUGCGUCUCUCUUUCUGCUUCCCGAGCGCUGAGAUUAAGGUUGUGCACUGCCAUUGCUUGACAAGAAACCUGCAUGUGCAGACUGUGAUAAACCUCACAUGGCCAGUGCCAAACCCAGUGACCCUCAGCUGGCCUCUGGAGCUUCAGAACCAUGCCUUGUGUGUGCUGAUGUCUUGGUUACUGUGAGGAAAUGUAGAGAGAAAGAAGCAGCCAGUUGGCGAAGACAUUGGCCACUGCUGGAUAUAGUCAAGUCGCAUCCUGAUAAACAUUUCUCAGCUGUACUUAAAGGGACUGAAGGAAGCAAUGGAGAGAUGGUCCACUUCUCUGAUGGCCUUCAGAGCCUCAAUGGGUGGUGAUGCUUUGGACCCAACUGAAAGCGCUGUUCACAGGAAGCCAUAAUGGAAGGAUUCUGGCAUCGUGUGGAAGGAAGACAUCAAGUCACGGAGUGGUUAGUACUUCCCAAAUGCACCGAUGUGCCCAACAGCAUCCAGUCAAAGGGUAGCAGCUUUGCAAAGAAAUUCUGUCUUUGGAUUGGUGUUUCAUUGUUUUGGAAGAGCAGGUGACACCAGCCUAGAAUAAAGGACGAGUAAGUAAAAUAAGGGGACAGGCACUUGCAGUUAAGACUUCACAGCAUGUUUUAAACCUGAAGUUAUUGGAACAGUAUGAAGCUGAUGGUAAAACAGCGGCCACAGAAAGCCCAGACACAGUCUGAGCUUCACCUUAAGUGCUGUUGGAGGCAUGGGUGCUUCCAGUUGGAUCCUGAGCAGUACAGAUGCUGGAGCCAGAGACUGCCUCCAUUGAUUGCCAGCAUCACGCAAAGGCUGGGAUGAGGGCAUGAUCGAGCGGAGGACCACUGACCUUCCACAUGUCUCCUCGUGUUCUCUGUCCUAUCACACAGUGUUCAGCACCUAGGAAUUAUGAUAUUCCCAUAGCCGGUCCCCUCAAGUUUGCCAAGAGAAGUCUGCAUGAUGAUCUUUGUAUUCUUCAAAGGUGUGGUGAGAAAGGCAAAAUUGAGUCUGUGGGACACCUCAUCUUAAGCCAGGCAACAAAUGCCAUGGCUCCAACUUCAGCCUCACUGAAUGCAGUCGGGGAAGCAAGCUGCCCUUCAACACUCUGAAUGUGUCCUCAAGCCAGCCAGCAACUCAUUGGCAGUCAAGUCUUAGCGUCCACAGGGUGCUAAGAUGUAAACGGAACUAGCCAGGCCUUUGCCAUGUGUCACAGUGAUGUCACAACGAUGGCUUCUUAUCCUUUGUUCAGCAGCACUGUGCUCAUUUCCUCCCGAGAGAGCAUCAGAACGGGUUUUGCCGUCCAUCCCAACCAGCAUCCUGUUUGGGAUUAUGGGCCCAUUUUCAAGGGAGAUCAAAACCUUCUCCCUAGCUUUUCCCAUCUGUGACUGAGUCCAUCUUGCAAACACCUCAAAACCUUCUACCUCUUAUCAUUGCAUCCUAAAGCCAGGUCUGCAUUUUUAGAUAUUUGUUCCCACAGCAUCCCAUUUCUAGCAACCAGUUUGUUUUUAUUAUGCCUGGGCUGCUGUCAGAAGAAUAACAAAGUUGUUUAUCAACAAGAAUUUAUUUGUUUGUUUGCUUGUUUAUAUAUGUCAGAGGCUGGAAAAUACAAGGUCAAGGGGCCAGCAGUCUUGUAUUUUGGUGUCUGGUUCACUGUUUUUUUUUCAAGACAGGGUUUCUCUGUAUUGUUUUGGAGGCUGUCCUGGAACUAGCUCUGUAGAC